GUCCAGUUUCUAUAAGAUCAAAUUCAAACGAUAAAACAACUACAAAGUUGAGCCAAGGUCAAAGGUCAUCUAGAUCCAAAACACCAACCAAGAAGAAGUCUGUAGAGUCCUUCAGGGUUGAAAGGUCAAGGACACCAAAGAAGGAUAGCCCGACGUCGUUGGUUGUCAGGGAGAAGAAGAAGGAAGAGAAGCGGCCUAUAUCUGUGAAAACACCGAGAACUCCUCUAUCUAGCGUUGGAAACAAACAAGCUAAACGUUUAGAAAACUACGCAAACCUCGUUUAUGAAGAGUUUCCAGUAAAGGAUCUACAACAGAUUCACCACCAAUGUCCAAAUCUACCGGAAGCUGGUAAAGUUCAAAACUACACCCGUCACGUGGGUUCAGCGUUAAAUACCAAACAUUAUGUAGACUUCUAUCUCAAAAAAGGUUUAGCUGGCGACAAAAGACGACAUGGCGGACAAAAGAAAGCACAAAAUAUUGCAACAAUCAAUAAAAAUUUAG